rnacentral:rRNA from 1 species
GAUGAACGCUGGCGGCGUGCCUAAUACAUGCAAGUCGAGCGAACAGACGAGGAGCUUGCUCCUCUGACGUUAGCGGCGGACGGGUGAGUAACACGUGGAUAACCUACCUAUAAGACUGGGAUAACUUCGGGAAACCGGAGCUAAUACCGGAUAAUAUAUUGAACCGCAUGGUUCAAUAGUGAAAGACGGUUUUGCUGUCACUUAUAGAUGGAUCCGCGCCGCAUUAGCUAGUUGGUAAGGUAACGGCUUACCAAGGCAACGAUGCGUAGCCGACCUGAGAGGGUGAUCGGCCACACUGGAACUGAGACACGGUCCAGACUCCUACGGUAGGCAGCAGUAGGGAAUCUUCCGCAAUGGGCGAAAGCUUGACGGAGCAACGCCGCGUGAGUGAUGAAGGUCUUCGGAUCGUAAAACUCUGUUAUUAGGGAAGAACAAAUGUGUAAGUAACUAUGCACGUCUUGACGGUACCUAAUCAGAAGGCCACGGCUAACUACGUG